CGAGGCUGUCCACUGGGUAGAGGAAGGAGAGCAUCCAAGUACUCCACGAGGCAGGGCCUACUCGUGUGACUCUAGAAUGCAAGUACUGGAAGAGGAGGAGGCCACGGGCUCUGUGGAUGAUUGGCUGCAAAGACAUACAGCCCAGCUCCAGUCUACCUAUCGCUCAACCAGACGACAUCUUGAGAACGCGGCCGCUCAAAGGCUCUGCCAACAGCCAAAAGUGAUCCACUGUUUAGAUGAUGCAGGAAGGGUGUACUCCAUAUGCCCAGUGGAUGGGAGUGGUCCAGUGCAGACAGUCAGUCGGACAGAGCUGCGUCUGGCCCCAGUAACCACUACACGCCUUGCCCCCACCAUUCCCCCGCUGGGCCACCAAGAAUCCCUGACUCCUACAGCCUUGGGGAAUCCUGAAGAAGAGGACGAGGAUAGCCCAUCUGUUUGGAUCAUGCCAACACCUGAACCAGGA
ensembl:lncRNA